AGUUCUGCUUGAGAUGACCGUUAGACCCGAUUACGUGUUUUUACGUAUGAGUUUAGCUAGCCAACGCCUUCAUGGCCUCGCCUACACGUAUGGUUUGAGAUUUCGAUUAGAGAAGCAGUUUAAGACUGGCCCAUUUUUGCCUGUCUUCAUACUGUUCUGUCUUUGAUUUGUCUUUUGACAGACUUUCCUUUCCCGGAAGAGAGUGUAAACAUCGGGGACCACGUGACAUCUAACGGACAGGGAUUUAAAGGCACAGGAAAAAGCAUAUUGCAUGAAAACUUUGGUUAAAAAUAACAGGAGUAGCUGGAAUUUGUUUAUCAUAAUUGUCAGUGUUAACAAACAAAAACAUAUGGUGUUUGUUUGCACCCCUUUUCCAAAGUACUGUUACAUGUUUCCAUGUUUCUGCAGGAGGUUGGAAAUUGUUGCUAACGAUACUGCACAACUAUAUUGGCGAAAUGAGCAGUACGAGAAGAAUGAAUCAACAUUAGGACCAUGUCUCAGAUCUCAGCUGAGGAGUCUGAACUUCAGUCUGUUGAGGCAACUGCUAAAAAGCAUCAAGACAGAAUCUCAGGUGCAUCUACCAAUUUAAUGUGCAGAGGAAAUAUUGCUUAAUCUGGAGAUGGACAAGACCUUCUUUAUGGCAGCCCCUCGCACCUCUCUGGUUCAGAGGGGUUGGGUUAAAUGCAGAAGACAUAUUUCAGUUGAAUGCAUUCAGUUGUACAACUGACUAGAUACAAGCAAAUGAUGCAGACACUGAAGAACACGGCGAUGGUAGUUGUUGAACCAUUGAUGAAUACAUUUGAAGAGGACCAACUGAGAAAGGAGGAGAUGCACAGGAAGAGCCAACAUCAUCAGUCAAACAGCCAUUACACAGACAACUGCUCCGACAGUAAUUCUUCCUUCAAUCAGGUACCAUGUUAAAUAAAUAGCCUACAAGUCACUCUUGCAAAGUGAGGAUCCACCCAACUAUCCAUUGAAUGGCUUUUUAUACACUAACGGACCAGUAUCAUUAUGCUGUAUAAACAUAUAUUUUGUUGAUCUGGAUAAGUAAUACUAAUACACUUGUAAAUCAUUACAUUAUAGGCUUAAGUUGUUUGUGUUGCCUCUGAGUUGAGUUUGCAAUCAGUGUCAUAUAUGCUGUUUAAUUAUAACUCACGAGCACAAAAAAGUGAAUGUACAGUAAUUACACAUUAACUACAGUUGCAAAUGUUUCCUUAGGGUUUACUUAUUUAUCAAACAAUAGCAGCUGCAAGUACUUGCUGAAAGGUUGGACCCUAGUAGGCCUAAAGAGUUAAAAGGAUUUCAAUAUGAUUUCUAUUCGGUAUAAUUUGCUAGAUUAUUACUAGAUUGGUAAAAAUGUUAUUAAUUGCGUCCAAUGUUGUGUGGUCUCUGAGAGUGACAGUGAUGUUGUGUGCAAGUGCACUGGGAGGCCAUGCAGGGUCUGUGUGGUGCAUAGCCCUCGGAUGUGCUGAGCUGUGGGAGUUGGAGCAGCCUGCGUAGGAACCUCUCAGCUGCACUGGCUGACCCAGACCCUGACCUCAGUGGUAAGGUCCUGUGCUUUUUAUCAAAAACAUUCUCUUCUCCACUGAAUGUAACAAGGGAGACACAAGAGAGAUACAACAGUUUAGCUAAAAGUCUGGAGUCUGACUUCAUGUACCUUAAACUGGGGCUCCCGAAUGGCGCAGCGGUCUAAGGCACUGCAUCGGUGCUUGAGGCGUCACUACAGACACCCUGGUACGAUUCCAGGCUGUAUCACAACGGGCCGUGAUUGGGAGUUCCAUAGGGCGGUGCACAAUUGGCCCAGAUUCGUCUGGGUUAGGCCCGUAUAGGCCGUCAUUGUAAACAAGAAUUUGUUCUUCACUGACUUGCCUAGUUAAAUAAAGGUAAAAAAUAAAUUAACUGACUGGAUCGGUUGGGAUUGAUGUAAACAGACCGGACAUUACCCGUCUUCUAAAACAAGAAUGCACCCUCUGUAAUGUGAUACUUGCAUGGCAGUUAUACCCAUAUGAAUAUGAUAUAGUUUUUAUUGACAUUUAUUUUUCCACCAGAUGAGACUAACGAAUGAUUUUCAGAAGGAAGUGACAACCUUUUGGAUUCGCCACCCAGAAAAGUACAUGGAGGAGAUAAUAGAGUACUUUCUCCUUCCUGUCCUUACACUCUGAACAUGGCUUAGGCACACAAGGGUCAGAGAAAGCCUUGCACCUCAUUGCCUUACUGGAUAUCAAAGCCACAUAGUUUAAGAAGUGGAUGGUGAGCACAAUAUUAACCUUGCUUCUCUAAACACUACAAGAAACCAAUCCCCCCCACCCAUAAGUAGUCUAACCAAUUGUCGGUGCUGAGUGAAGAUGAUGUCAGUCCUGUCUCUUCAAGCACGGUUACUACAGCAGGACCGUGGUCUACAGGCUUCUGGAGAUGAAGUACAAGUCUCUGAUUGUAGCAGCUCUUCAGCAGUGUGUCUAUUGAGUCCUGUGACCCAUUCAUAGACGAGACAGCUGAGGUCAUCUACUCUAUCGAGAACCAGCACAUCAGCAUUGCUAAAAGUACUCUACACUGCCAAAAAGCUGGAAUACACUUAUUUUGUUCACUCAUUACGUGUGCUAGGAAGGCUUCUCAUGUACAUUAAUGGGAGAAAGCUCCUUCCCAUCAAAGUGGGGAAAUGCAAAGAUCCAGUCAGUCUGACAGACCUGGUUGUCAUUCUGAUUAGCAUCAUGUACCAGCACCCCAAGCCUCCUCACAGUGACUCGUUACCUGCAGGCCAAAUUAAACUCCCCAGAAACUGCACUCAUAUAGCAGACACUCUCGCAAGAAUUGCCACCACGGAGUGAGGAUUGUCGCUUUUCUUAUAUGAAAGAAAUCUAGUUUCUGCCGAGAGUGAAGGAGUGGUUUGGGAGGAGACUUUCCUGAACUUGAACCUGCUGAACUUUUCUGCCACUCCGAAAGUCCUGCUGCUCCUCCAGCAUACUCCAGGUUCACCAAGAAACUACAGGCAAGACCAUGUGACAAGUUUGGCUACGGUGUGAGGGUGACACAGGUAGCAGCAACAGCCCCUGGUGUGGUGGCAUUACACAGCUCAGUCGUUCAUGUCCAUGGUCAACCUUCUGUCCUCCCCCCAUGCUGGUGGGAGCUCUUGGGACAGCAGCCUCUGCCCAAUAAGGCUGAGUACAACCUAAGGGAGAUGCCCAUCUCCCUCACAGAUUUGAUUGAUAGGCUGAUUGCUGUGAAUUCAAUGUGAAAAUUCAUUCACUGUUCAACUAUGAGCAAUCUCACACGUUUGGCCUGAGAUUACUAAGUGUGAGGUGCUGCAACCUAGACUCCCUCCUGCAUCUGAAGUCACAGUACAACAUUUACGACAUGUUGUUGCAGUGUCAGAAGGACAACAUCACCGAUACAUUGUCUGGUGAAGGGUAUUUGAAAAGCUGUUUGUUUUCCUGUGCCUCAUAAUGUUAUGACAGGCUGUGGUUCCACUGUUAGUCUAAUCACGACAAAAUGAGAAAUUGAUCAUUUGCCUUGUCACAGUAAAAUGAAAUAAAGCGUAAACAAAAGGCCAUUUCCAAAAGUGUCUUUUGAAUGCCUCCAUAAUGGAUAUUGUGACUGGUCAUGAAUUGAAAUGCUGUGAAUUGUCUGGUCACAAAAUAAAUGUGCCUGCAAGCACGCCAGUUUUGUUUCUGAAUUAGAGAUCACCUAAUUUCUCCUCCCAUUUUUAUAUUCCCUCCCCCAUCUUCAUCACUGAUGGUCUGUCUGUUGAGAGGAACCACAUCCUGGUGCGUAUGAGUGUGAUUGGAGGACUAUCGGAGAGGAGACUUCCCCCUAGGGCCCUCCAGAAGACUAUGAGAUAAGUGCCUUCCUGGCCUCCACCAAGGACACAGAGAAGGAUGGGAGCUGGAUGGAUACCUGCAGGAGACAAUACUGUAAAGUCAUGACCACCAAGUCCAACUUUGUCUCAGCAAAUGGGGGUGAUAUAUUAUGAUGUUAUGUAUAAAAAAAUAUAUUCCUGGUCAGGUCACAUGGUCAGAGCGAGGAAAAAAAAAAUUGCUUUGAAUAGUUUAUCAAUAAAACCUGUGAAUCCAUAUUUCACUGUUCUUGCCAUUCCGAUAUGCUACAAUCCACACUGUAUUUGAGAAUUAUAGCACUGUUGGGUUAACUCAUCUGUUUUAUAUUCAAACUACAGACAGGGACCAGAGUUUGUUAACAUUUGAUAGUCCAUUACAUUGCCAUGAAUAAAUGGAUGAUAGAUUUGUCAGUGGAUGAAAUGAUAGGCCCAUAUUGGGUGUGCUGCUAGACUACUAGAUAAUGAAGAACCAAUAUCUGCCUACAACUGCAAAUGUAUAGAUGAUCACUUUGCCUGGGUAACAGUAAAUAAUGGUAAAGAUGACUAAUUUACCCACAUAAGAUUUUAAUUUACUGUACAUAUACUGUACUGUUGCACUCUCUGAGGGUGUUUAUGUCAUUGAUUGGUUGCUAUUCAUUGAAACCGUCAUGAUUAGGUGUCAUUGUGUGUUCAAUUGCUUCCUCUGAAUGUCACUCUUAAGAGUUCCAUUUUGAGUUAUUGGUUGUGAAGGGAUUGCGGUGUACAGAGUAAGAGACUUCAUGAUUGCUUAUUUCAUUCAGAGACAAAGAAGCACCCAGGACAAAGGCUUUUGAUGUAUCUUAGAAAUAAGAAAAAAUGUCUACACAGAGCUUCCUUUCUUUGUAUAAUAGAUAAACAAGAUGCUUGAUUACCUUACGAUUUUCCCUGCUGUGUGUAUAGUAAAGGCAGCACAAUUUGUACUUGCCUGAUGUUGCAUUGAAGAUAAAUGGCUUUUCCAAGGUCUCUGUGAUGUUCCUAAAACCUACUGUGUGUUUCCUGUCUCCGCCCCAGUCCUGGCUGAUCCACUGUGUGUUUCCUGUCUCCGCCCCCAGUCCUGGCUGAUUGACUGUGUGUUUUCUGUCUCCGCCCCAGUCCUGGCUGAUCCACUGUGUGUUUCCUGUCUCCGCCCAGUCCUGGCUGAUCCACUAUGUGUUUCCUGUCUCCUCACCAGUCCUGGCUGAUCUACUGGAGAAGGCUGUGUUGCACCUCUCUGCUUCGCUGUCAGAGCAUUUCUUCCCGCCUGCACAAUACAAAGCAUCGGAGAGCGGCGUAAAGGCUGGCAGCCUGUCAUCUGUGGACCAGCUGGGGAUUCAGGCCUCUCUCAGCAUCAUGACUGGCCGCUUCCACUCCCCUGCUGUACGUGCCUGUCAAUCACAUUGAGAAGGCCCACUGCGUCCAGCCUCAGCCCCCUCAAUCUGUAACCCUUCUCUCCUGCUGCCUACUGAGACUGACCUGUGGUGCGCUAGGUAAGAUGCUGUGGUUGUUAUAGUGGACCUCUCCCUAACAUGGCUGGAGAAAUGGAAAGAGAGAGAGAGAGAGACACAUUUUUCUGCAUGUUUUUUCAAAAAGAUAGAUUUAGAGUUAGAUAAACUUGGAUUUUUUGGCAAGGACAUAUACAGGAUACUACCCUCCACAACAUAACCUUCACUCCAAAUCAAAACUCCAAACCUACAACCUGAUUUUGGACAAAAUUACCUGGAAAGAUUCCUACUACCAAAGAUGCCUAUUUCCAAGCUAUACAGCAUAUACUCUGGCAAACAAACAACAUAAACCUGAAAACACCAUCCAACC